rnacentral:rRNA from 1 species
CGAACGCUGGCGGCGUGCUUAACACAUGCAAGUCGAACGCUGAAGCACCAGCUUGCUGGUGUGGAUGAGUGGCGAACGGGUGAGUAAUACGUGAGUAACCUGCCCUUGACUCUGGGAUAAGCCCGGGAAACUGGGUCUAAUACUGGAUGCUACAUGUCACCGCAUGGUGGUGUGUGGAAAGGGUUUACUGGUCUUGGAUGGGCUCACGGCCUAUCAGCUUGUUGGUGAGGUAAUGGCUCACCAAGGCGACGACGGGUAGCCGGCCUGAGAGGGUGACCGGCCACACUGGGACUGAGACACGGCCCAGACUCCUACGGGAGGCAGCAGUGGGGAAUAUUGCACAAUGGGCGAAAGCCUGAUGCAGCGACGCCGCGUGAGGGAUGACGGCCUUCGGGUUGUAAACCUCUUUCAGCAGGGAAGAAGCCACAAGUGACGGUACCUGCAGAAGAAGCGCCGGCUAAC